AGUCACUUUAGCUGAUACAGCCAUCACAAUUUGUGUAUAGACAAUCAUGUGAACACGUUGAGGGUGUGCGGCCAGAAUGUUGAGUUUUAAAAUAAAGUUGUGUGCAUUAUUUUUCAUCUGUCAUAUGGUAGCAUCAGAAGACAUACAGAAUACUCCAAAUGUAUGGUACAUUGAGCCAACAAUUAAUCGAAACGCUUAUGGCGCUACCGUUGCGUAUUCUUUGAACGGUACAUCAUGGUUAUUGGACUUAACGGACGUUGCACUGAAUAAAGUGCCAAUAGUGUACAAUAAAAAUGGCGUUAUAACAGAAGACACAAUCAAGGUUCAGAAUUGUUCUGUACAGACAACGGGAAAUCUGCCUAUAUUUCAACAAUUAGAAUAUUUGAAUAAUGUAACCAGAAGCACUCAACUCGAUGAAUCACACGAUUCAAUCAAACAGUCAAACGUGUCAUUAUGUAACGAUAAAACCAAAUGGAUGUUAACUGAAGGCCAAGAUUCUUACGUGUUCAUAGUUUUUAAUAAAUCUAAUCAAAGUGAUCAGUCAGUUCCGAAAGAGUUAGUUUAUGGCUUAAGUGCAGUCUCUUUUCUAUUACUGUUGUUGUCGUCCUGUUUGAUUUAUUGCAAGUGUGCAUCACCUUCGGCGUCCGGGAUGGAAGACUAUCAUAUUGUUGAUAUUUGCCUGACGGGCUGUUGUAAAUUUUAGAAAUCCCUCGUUUGUAAUAAAAUAAUUCAACUUUUGUUGAAGCA